rnacentral:rRNA from 1 species
CGCGGCCUAUCAGCUUGUUGGUGGGGUAAUGGCCUACCAAGGCAACGACGGGUAGCUGGUCUGAGAGGAUGAUCAGCCACACUGGGACUGAGACACGGCCCAGACUCCUACGGGAGGCAGCAGUGGGGAAUCUUGCGCAAUGGGCGAAAGCCUGACGCAGCAACGCCGCGUGCGGGAUGAAGGCCUUCGGGCUGUAAACCUCUUUCAGCAGGGAAUAAGCGAAAGUGAAGGUACCUGCAGAAGAAGCACCGGCUAACUAUGUGCCAGCAGCCGCGGUAAUACAUAGGGUGCAAGCGUUGUCCGGAAUUAUUGGGCGUAAAGAGCUCGUAGGUGGUCGAUCACGUCGGAUGUGAAAUUCUGAGGCUUAACCUCGGACCUGCAUUCGAUACGGGUUGACUAGAGUGUGGUAGGGGAGACUGGAAUUCCUGGUGUAGCGGUGGAAUGCGCAGAUAUCAGGAGGAACACCGAUGGCGAAGGCAGGUCUCUGGGCCAUUACUGACACUGAGGAGCGAAAGCGUGGGGAGCGAACAGGAUUAGAUACCCUGGUAGUCCACGCCGUAAACGGUGGGCGCUAGUUGUGGGAACCUUCCACGGUUUCUGCGACGCAGCUAACGCAUUAAGCGCCCCGCCUGGGGAGUACGG